rnacentral:rRNA from 1 species
AUUGAACGCUGGCGGCAGGCCUAACACAUGCAAGUCGAGCGGCAGCACGGGUACUUGUACCUGGUGGCGAGCGGCGGACGGGUGAGUAAUGCCUAGGAAUCUGCCUGGUAGUGGGGGAUAACGUCCGGAAACGGGCGCUAAUACCGCAUACGUCCUACGGGAGAAAGUGGGGGAUCUUCGGACCUCACGCUAUUAGAUGAGCCUAGGUCGGAUUAGCUAGUUGGUGAGGUAAUGGCUCACCAAGGCGACGAACCGUAACUGGUCUGAGAGGAUGAUGAGGCACACUGGAACUGAGACACGGUCCAGACUCCUACGGGAGGCAGCAGUGGGGAAUAUUGGACAAUGGGCGAAAGCCUGAUCCAGCCAUGCCGCGUGUGUGAAGAAGGUCUUCAGAUUGUAAAGCACUUUAAGUUGGGAGGAAGGGCAGUUACCUAAUCCGUGAUUGUUUUGACGUUACCGACAGAAUAAGCACCGGCUAACUCUGUGCCAGCCGCCGCAGUAA